rnacentral:rRNA from 1 species
UACGGAGGAUGCGAGCGUUAUCCGGAUUUAUUGGGUUUAAAGGGUGCGUAGGCGGAUCUUUAAGUCAGCGGUAAAAUGUCCGGGCUCAACCCGGGCCGGCCGUUGAAACUGGGGAUCUUGAGUGGGCGAGAAGUAUGCGGAAUGCGUGGUGUAGCGGUGAAAUGCAUAGAUAUCACGCAGAACUCCGAUUGCGAAGGCAGCAUACCGGCGCCCGACUGACGCUGAGGCACGAAAGCGUGGGGAUCGAACAGG